ACGACAAACCGGCAAACCGAUCGCGAGGUCGGGGCGCAAAGCGGAGGGUCUCGGGAGUCCGAGAUCGCCUGGCUACCGAA
rfam:Elusimicrobia bacterium GWA2_66_18 gwa2_scaffold_1333, whole genome shotgun sequence.